GGAGCAUGUGAAGGCAUUGGAGGAUUAGAAGGGCAAUAGAAUGGAGUACUUAGAACUUUUAAAAUCCUGUGACUUUACUAAGAAUCUGUAUGGAAGAGCAUGUUGCUGCGGGAAUACUUAAUGCAAAAACUAACUGGCGUGAUUAUUGCAUCAAAGUUAUUUUUUCUUUCUUAUGUUCAGUGAGUGAUUACCUUCAUGAGUUCCCUUUUCGUCUUUUUGAAUUUUUCAUCCAAUAAUUUCCUUCUUUAUUUUGUGCUUGUAGAUUAAAGAUUUUGCUGCAUAUCUAUCCGUCUCAUCAAAUACUUCAUGAUCAACAACAAAAGACUUAUUUACAGAUGUUAUGGAUGAACUGGAGAAACAGGCGAAAUAGGUUGCUAAUAGGAGUAUUGAAUUGUGUCAACUACAUUUGUUACACUAAGCCAUAUUUAUAGACUUUACACUACAAUCCCUUUUCAUUUGCUUUCACUUAAUGAAGGUCUGAAUCUGAAUGGUUAAGAUAUCAACCCAUUAAGUGCUUUUUUUAAAAAAAGAUUCAACC